CCGGGAUUUGUUUCAUUAUGAGACUAUCUCCAUGACCCUUUUUGUUUAUCAAAAAAUGUCUACUUCGGCAAGACGUUCAAUUUUGGUUCUUUUUGGAUCAGAAUUGACCAUUGACUUUUACCCAAAAGUGAAUGUGUUUUUUUUGCUUGCCGAAGGUUUUUAUAACUCUUUAUUAUACUUGAAGUCUGAGUACAAAAGAAAAUAAAUUA
rnacentral:misc_RNA from 1 species